rnacentral:rRNA from 1 species
GAUGAACGCUGGCGGCGUGCCUAACACAUGCAAGUCGAACGGAGCUGCUUUGAUGAAGUUUUCGGAUGGAUUUAAAACAGCUUAGUGGCGGACGGGUGAGUAACGCGUGGGUAACCUGCCUCACACUGGGGGAUAACAGUUAGAAAUAGCUGCUAAUACCGCAUAAGCGCACAGUUCCGCAUGGAACGGUGUGAAAAACUCCGGUGGUGUGAGAUGGACCCGCGUCUGAUUAGCCAGUUGGCGGGGUAACGGCCCACCAAAGCGACGAUCAGUAGCCGGCCUGAGAGGGUGAACGGCCACAUUGGGACUGAGACACGGCCCAAACUCCUACGGGAGGCAGCAGUGGGGAAUAUUGCACAAUGGGGGAAACCCUGAUGCAGCGACGCCGCGUGAGUGAAGAAGUAUUUCGGUAUGUAAAGCUCUAUCAGCAGGGAAGAAAGUGACGGUAC